rnacentral:rRNA from 1 species
GCCAAACAGCUAGCUCAACCACCUAAUAACUAAACAAUGUAUAUAAAACAAAAUAAGCCUAACACCAAAAAUUAAACCAUUCUUUUACCUUAGUAUGGGAGACAGAAAAGGUCACACCUGGAGCAAUAGAGAUAGUACCGCAAGGGAAAGCUGAAAGAGAAAUGAAAUAACUUAUAUAAGCACAAAAAAGCAAAGAUUAAAUCUUGUACCUUUCGCAUCAUGAUUUAGCCAGUAUACCCAAGCAAAGAGACCUUUAGUUUGAAACCCCGAAACCAGAUGAGCUACCCCGAGACAGCCUAUUAAGGGCCAACCCGUCUCUGUGGCAAAAGAGUGGGAAGAGCUCCGGGUAGAGGUGACAAAUCUACCGAACCUGGUGAUAGCUGGUUGCCUAAGAAGUGAAUAGAAGUUCAGCCUCGUACUCCCCUGAUCAAAGAAUAUAGAGAAGAUGCUAAAGGGCAAUACACGAGAGUUAGUUGAAGGGGGUACAGCCCCUUUAACAAAGGACACAACCUUCCCAGGAGGAUAAAGAUCAUAAUAUAUAAAACAUCCUGUUCUAGUGGGCCUAAAAGCAGCCACCUAAACAGAAAGCGUUAAAGCUCAGACAGAAGCGAGUUUAUUAUUCCGACAAAAAAUCUUACUCCCCUUAAUACUAUUAGGCCAGCCCAUGCUCACAUGGGAGAGACUAUGCUAAAAUGAGUAACAAGAAGGCCUGCCCUUCUCCAAGCACAGCUGUAAGCCAAAUCGGACCAACCAUUGGCAAUUAACGAACUCAACCCAAGAGAGCAAUGUGGAUUGCAACAAAACCAAGAAGAACCCACAUAAGUCCAUCGUUACCCCCACACUGGCGUGCUAUUAAAGGAAAGACUAAAAGAAGGGGAAGGAACUCGGCAAACACAAGCCUCGCCUGUUUACCAAAAACAUCGCCUCCUGCAACGAAACCAAGUAUAGGAGGUCCAGCCUGCCCAGUGACGAUAAGUUUAACGGCCGCGGUAUUUUGACCGUGCAAAGGUAGCGUAAUCACUUGUCUCUUAAAUGGAGACCUGUAUGAAUGGCCAAACGAGGGCUUAACUGUCUCCCCCUUCCAGUCAGUGAAAUUGAUCUAUCCGUGCAGAAGCGGG